GUCUCUCUCACUCUCACUCUCACUCUCACUCUCUCCCACCUUCUCAUCUUCUUCCUCCAUUUUGAAUUGCUUCUGGUUUCCAAAACUCUGAUUUCAUGCUGGGCCUUAUUUGAAUACAUACUUUUUUUUCUAAUAAUCUUCUGCAGAAAAGAAGAAAAAUCUGUUUUUGAUUUUCUGUUUCUUUUUCUGCGUUAGUUUUUUGAGAGAGAGAGAGAGAGUGUGUGUGUGUGUGGAAGAUAUUUUCUGGAGUGCUAUUUUCCACCGUGAAGACUUGGAGGCUAAGGCCUUUCGCUUAGUUCAGAAAUAUUUCAGUAUAAAUAUCAACAUCUGAGGCCACAUGCAGGUAAUUUGUAUGAGCUUCCAAAUUUCUGGGUGUGUUAGUUGUGUAAGUUUCGUGGUGCCAUGUAAGUGUCACGGGAAUUCUUGUUAUUGAAGUUUUGCUCUGGAUCUGUUUCUCUAGUUAUUUUUUCCUUGCAAAGUUUGGAUGCUCUUUUUUAUGCUGUAAUGUGCUGUGCUAUAUGGGAACCGAUUAGGUAAAUCCACUAGCUUAGUUUUAUGAUGGAACUUCCAUUCGCUAUAGUGCUUUUUCAUAUAUUGGAUGAGAUCCGGACCUUUCUCCUUUUUUUCUUCUUGUAUUUUAUCUAAAUCAGUCAUUUGGAACCUAUCUUUUGGUAAAUGCUGCAUGAUUUAUAGAGUGGAACAUUCUUACCUGCUGAUCAGUCCUCUGGACCGUUGGGUGGUUGCUAUGUGACAAAAAGUAUUGGACUUCUACAAUCAGAAACCACCGGAUCCCAUACUUUCAGGUGUAUGGGUGGUGGAUAAGAGGACUGUCCCUUAUUUUAGAAUUUGAUAAAUUCUAUGGUGGAUACCAUACUCUUGGUACCUUUCUCCAUAUGGAUAUGAUUCCAAAGUACUAGUACUUUGUUUGCUAAGCUUGAUGCUUGUUGUGAUCAAACAAGUGGUACUUGCUGCCUGGUGUAGCUUGGUCUUGUGAGUCUUAGGUGUCACAAUUUGAAAGUUGAAAUGUGAAUUGGUUGACCAAAAGCAAAAGGCUGUUAAAUCAGUUGACUGAUCAAGCGGCUUACAGCUAAGAUUGCAUGUCUUCGAUAACUUCAAAUUGUCUUGUUUUGUAUCCAAAUUGAAGCGGCCAAGAAAACUCACUCGUGCUAAAUGGUUCAGGGACUUAUUGAAGUCGUCUGGUUUUACCAAGACUUGUUAGAGUUUGCUCAGCCCCUUGUUGCUUUUGGCGUGACUGCAAUUAAAGCUAGUUGACUACAAUGAAAACUAGGUGAUUACAAGACCUUCAGAAAUAUUUCAUUACCAACUAGGAUACAACCCAUUGGGAGCCUUUUGUAGGCUCGGGGUUUGGCCAAUUGUCGCUUGGGUGACAACCCAUAAGGAGGCCGAAUCAACUUCUAAUGCACUAAUGGGUGAUGAAGUGGCAAAAUAAAGACCCUUAAUAGAAUUGUAUAUAUGUAUGACUUUUUGGGUAAAGUCAUUGACCAAUAUUAUGGUAGUAUUUGUUUUGAAGCUAUUGGUUAUUUUACUAAUGAAUUAUUGCCAUUGGUUGGUGUACUUUGUCAAAGUUGUACAUAUUUGUGUUUCAAGCCCCAUACAUGGACCGAGUAUGUAACGUUACGAUGAGUACGUGAAAGUGAAUAGCAUGGUGGCAAGAUUCUUUCUGAUAGAUCUACUAAUAGACCAUUUCACAAGUAGGUAAAUCCCACAUAUUUAGGUCUCACCUACUUGUGAGAUGAUCUACUGGUGGAUUUGGUUCAUAAUAGACACUUUCGUAGUAGGAAGGCUUAGCUUUGCAGUUCAUGCACAUGGCUAGAUGUGCAUGCUCAACUGCACAUGGUUGGAUGAGUGUGUGCGACUGCUUAUAGCUUGAUGAUCUUGCUCUAUUGGCUACUUUAUAGCAUAGACUUGGUUUGCCUCUGCAAUAUUGAGUCCAUGACUAAUUUGAUAAGCGUGCUUGACUGCUCAUGGCUGGAUGAGCAUGCUUGAAUGCUUAUGCACUGUUGACUAGCCAGCUCUAUCGACUACUUUAAGUGUAGACUUGAUUUACUUAUGCAAUAUUGAGUCCAUGACGAAUUUGAUAAAUGUGUUUCAUGUGAUUUUCUUUCAAUGGUGAGUAAGCAUUUGAAGUAAUGCUUCUCAGCAUAGAAGCACCCCGUGGAUCCCAUUGGGCGCAAAAGAGCUCCCACUAUUUGUCUAAUGUGUCCCUCGACACCUCAUAUUAAUUUGUUUGAAAAUACAUUUUAUUUGUGAACUUUUGAGAUAGUAGAUGACUUGAAAAUCUAAGAAGACCAAAAGUUGAAAAGUUGCUUUUUAAAUAUUUGAUACAAAUAUAAAACUAUAUAUUCUAUAAUUUGCUUUUUAUUCUUUAUUUGAAUAAAUUUGCCAAGUAUUUGCUUGUUAUUCUUUAGAGAGGGAAAGUUUAACAAAUGGGAGUAGGAAGUUAAUGUACAUAACAAGAAGGGUGUAACUUUGGUCUGAUUUUCAUUUGAGAAAUUGGUGACUAUUCAUGUUUACGGAUUAUCAAAAAUAGUAUUAUUUAUGAAAACAAACUCAUAGUCAUUUAAGCAGGUUGCGAGGAAGUUGACAACUAGUCUCUAGAGGUCAGAGCUCUUCGUUUAACCAUUGUUUCUUUUGAGUAAAUAGAAUUAGUAACAUUUUCAGAUCUCUUCGUUAAACAUUUUGAUUAAAUUGAAUUAGUAACCAUUGUCAGACUCUUCGUUAAACAAGUUAGUAAAUAGAAUUAGUAACACUUUUUUAUAGUCCUUAGACGGAAAGUGGAAGCAUGUAUUUGAGUGUGUUGGAUUGAAGGGAAACGGGUAGGAACAGUUCUCAGUAUAACUAUUUUUGAACGUUGUAAUAUUAUUUGAACAAAUUGUAACUUCUUGUUAAUUACUUGUACAACUUCUCAACAUCAGUUUAAUAUUUGAUCGUUGUUCACGUCGGCUCAUAUAAUAGCUGCGUCCUCUUUAUGAGUUUGUACAAAUAGCGUCAAUAAGAUAUUACUUCAUUUACGAAUGGUA